GAUGAACGCUAGCUACAGGCUUAACACAUGCAAGUCGAGGGGCAGCAUGAACUUAGCUUGCUAAGUUUGAUGGCGACCGGCGCACGGGUGAGUAACACGUAUCCAACCUGCCGAUGACUCGGGGAUAGCCGUUUCGAAAGAAAGAUUAAUACCCGAUGGCAUAGUUCUUCCGCAUGGUAUAACUAUUAAAGAAUUUCGGUCAUCGAUGGGGAUGCGUUCCAUUAGGUUGUUGGCGGGGUAACGGCCCACCAAGCCUUCGAUGGAUAGGGGUUCUGAGAGGAAGGUCCCCCACAUUGGAACUGAGACACGGUCCAGACUCCUACGGGAGGCAGCAGUGAGGAAUAUUGGUCAAUGGACGAGAGUCUGAACCAGCCAAGUAGCGUGAAGGAUGACUGCCCUAUGGGUUGUAAACUUCUUUUAUACGGGAAUAAAGUGAGGCACGUGUGCCUUUUUGUAUGUACCGUAUGAAUAAUGAUCGGCUAACUCCGUGCCAGCAGCCGCGGUAAUACGGAGGAUCCGAGCGUUAUCCGGAUUUAUUGGGUUUAAAGGGAGCGUAGGCGGACGCUUAAGUCAGUUGUGAAAGUUUGCGGCUCAACCGUAAAAUUGCAGUUGAUACUGGGUGUCUUGAGUACAGUAGAGGCAGGCGGAAUUCGUGGUGUAGCGGUGAAAUGCUUAGAUAUCACGAAGAACUCCGAUUGCGAAGGCAGCUUGCUGGACUGUAACUGACGCUGAUGCUGGAAAGUGUGGGUAUCAAACAGGAUUAGAUACCCUGCUAGUCCACACAGUAAACGAUGAAUACUCGCUGUUUGCGAUAUACAGUAAGCGGCCAAGCGAAAGCGUUAAGUAUUCCACCUGGGGAGUACGCCGGCAACGGUGAAACUCAAAGGAAUUGACGGGGGCCCGCACAAGCGGAGGAACAUGUGGUUUAAUUAGAUGAUACGCGAGGAACCUUACCCGGGCUUGAAUUGCAAUUGACUGAUGUGGAGACAUGUCAGCCGCAAGGCAGUUGUGAAGGUGCUGCAUGGUUGUCGUCAGCUCGUGCCGUGAGGUGUCGGCUUAAGUGCCAUAACGAGCGCAACCCUUAUCGAUAGUUACCAUCAGGUUAUGCUGGGGACUCUGUCGAGACAGCCGUCGUAAGAUGUGAGGAAGGUGGGGAUGACGUCAAAUCAGCACGGCCCUUACGUCCGGGGUUACACACGUGUUACAAUGGGGGGUACAGAAGGCAGCUACACGGAGACGUGAUGCUAAUCCCUAAAGCCUCUUUCAGUUCGGAUUGGAGUCUGCAACCCGACUCCAUGAAGCUGGAUUCGCUAGUAAUCGCGCAUCAGCCACGGCGCGGUGAAUACGUUCCCGGGCCU
rnacentral:rRNA from 1 species